rnacentral:rRNA from 1 species
GACGAACGCUGGCGGCGUGCUUAACACAUGCAAGUCGAACGGAAAGGCCCUGCUUUUGUGGGGUGCUCGAGUGGCGAACGGGUGAGUAACACGUGAGUAACCUGCCCUUGACUUUGGGAUAACUUCAGGAAACUGGGGCUAAUACCGGAUAGGAGCUCCUGCUGCAUGGUGGGGGUUGGAAAGUUUCGGCGGUUGGGGAUGGACUCGCGGCUUAUCAGCUUGUUGGUGGGGUAGUGGCUUACCAAGGCUUUGACGGGUAGCCGGCCUGAGAGGGUGACCGGCAGCACUGGAACUGAGGCACGCUACAGAGGACUACGGGAGGCAGCAGUAGGGAAUCUGCCGCAACGGGCGGGAGCCUGGCGGAGCGGCGCGGCGUCAGUUAUGAAGGUCUGCCGAUCGUAAAGCGCGUUUAUUGGUGAAGAACAAAUGUGUAAGUAACUAUGCCCGGCUUGACGGUACCUAAUCAGAAAGCCACGGCUAACUACGUG